rnacentral:rRNA from 1 species
AUCACUGGGCUUAAAGAGUUCGUAGGCGGCUUGGUCAGUCAGAUGUGAAAUCCCACAGCCCAACUGUGGAACUGCGUUUGAUACUGCCAAGCUUGAGGGAGUUAGAGGAAAGCGGAACUGAUGGUGGAGCGGUGAAAUGCGUUGAUAUCAUCAGGAACACCGGUGGCGAAAGCGGCUUUCUGGAGCUCUUCUGACGCUGAGGAACGAAAGCUAGGGGAGCGAACGGGAUUAGAUACCCCGGUAGUCCCAGCUGUAAACGAUGAGCACUAGGUCGAGGGAACCUUCACAUUCUCUCGGCCGGAGCGAAAGUGUUAAGUGCUCCGCCUGGGGAGUAUGGUCGCAAGGCUGAAACUUAAAGGAAUUGACGGGGGCUCACACAAGCGGUGGAGGAUGUGGCUUAAUUCGAGGCUACGCGAAGAACCUUAUCCUGGUCUUGACAUGCUUAGGAAUAUCUGUGAAAGCAGAUAGUGCCUUCGGGAGCCUUUGCACAGGUGCUGCAUGGCUGUCGUCAGCUCGUGUCGUGAGAUGUCGGGUUAAGUCCCUUAACGAGCGAAACCCUUGUGUCUAGUUGCCAGCGAGUAAUGUCGGGGACUCUAGACAGACUGCCGGUGUUAAACCGGAGGAAGGUGGGGAUGACGUCAAGUCCUCAUGGCCUUUAUGAUCAGGGCUGCACACGUCCUACAAUCCAACGUACAAAGGGAAGCGAAACCGCGAGGUCAAGCAAAUCCCAGAAGGCGUUGGUCAGUUCGGA